UACGUAGGGGGCGAGCGUUGUCCGGAAUCAUUGGGCGUAAAGCGCGUGUAGGCGGUUCAGUAAGUCUGCUGUGAAAGUCCAGGGCUCAACCCUGGGAUGCCGGUGGAUACUGCUGAACUAGAGUGCGGAAGAGGCGAGUGGAAUUCCCGGUGUAGCGGUGAAAUGCGCAGAUAUCGGGAGGAACACCAAGUUGCGAAGGCAGCUCGCUGGGA
rnacentral:rRNA from 1 species